rnacentral:rRNA from 13 species
AUAUUCGUGAGGUAAAGCAAUUUUUUUACAAGGGUUGUUUUAUGACAUUACUGAGUAAAUUAAAACUUUGAAUUCAUGUAAUAUUUGGUAAACAGUUGGACAAUUAGCUAAAAAGUUGAUUUGUCAAGAGAGUAACAACUCAAAAAUGUCAUUUAAGGUUUUGAAUUUUCAACUAAGUAAAAAAGAUUAUCCUAAUAUCAAAACUCUCUCCUUGUUAGCUUAGAAACAGCUAUCAAUUAAAGAAAACGUAACAGUUCAAAGAAUAAAUUGUAGGAGGGUAUCUAAAAUGUAAGAAAAUUCCGUUAAACCGAAACAACAUAAUCGAUAAGAUUGGUAGCGGAGCAAUUUGUAUUUAUAAAAUAUUUUUGUGAAAAAAUUGUAAUAAAUCAAAAAGAAAAUGUUAGCAUGAGUAACGAUAAAAAGAAUACAAUUUCUUUCGCCCAAAAUCAAAGGUUUUAUUCACGUGAAAAUGUUUUUCGUGGUUUUACACAGCUUCUAAAUCAUAGGCGAAAGCUGAAGAUGAUGAAUUAGUCUAUUUAAAUGUUCGGUAAUAACAAAGACUGGAAGAUGCAAUCUAAAAUAUAUCUGGGUUAAUUUUUUGUGUUGAACAGUUUUUCUAGAAAAGUUAUCGAAUAGAAACGACAAAGCUGUCCUUAAACCGAAACAGGUUGAUAAAUAAAACUAUAUUAAGGCGUAAAAAGCAAUAACAAAUAUGGAACUCGGCAAAUUAUUCCCGAAACUUCGGAAACGGAAAACAUUUUUAUAAAAUAAAUUUGUUAGCAUAAAAAUAGAAUUCGCAACAGUUUAUUAAAAA